rnacentral:rRNA from 1 species
AACGAACGCUGGCGGCAGGCUUAACACAUGCAAGUCGAGCGCCCCGCAAGGGGAGCGGCAGACGGGUGAGUAACGCGUGGGAACGUACCCUUCGGUUCGGAAUAACUCAGGGAAACUUGGGCUAAUACCGGAUACGUCCGUGAGGAGAAAGAUUUAUCGCCGAAGGAUCGGCCCGCGUUGGAUUAGCUAGUUGGUGGGGUAAUGGCCUACCAAGGCGACGAUCCAUAGCUGGUCUGAGAGGAUGAUCAGCCACACUGGGACUGAGACACGGCCCAGACUCCUACGGGAGGCAGCAGUGGGGGAAUAUUGGACAAUGGGCGAAAGCCUGAUCCAGCCAUGCCGCGUGAGUGAUGAAGGCCCUAGGGUUGUAAAGCUCUUUCAGUGGGGAAGAUAAAUGACGGUACCCACAGAAGAAGCCCCGGCUAACUUCGUAG